rnacentral:rRNA from 1 species
AACGAACGCUGGCGGCGUGCCUAACACAUGCAAGUCAAGCGCGAAUGGAGCAAUCCUAGUAGAGCGGCGCACGGGUGCGUAACACGGGGGUAAUCUGCCUAGAAGACUGGAAUAACCUGCCGAAAGGCAAGCUAAUACCAGAUAAGCCUACGAAGCCUUCGGUCUUCGAAGGAAAAGGUGGCCUCUGUACAUCAAGACAUCACUUCUAGAUGAGCACGCGGCCCAUCAGCUAGUUGGCGGGGUAAGGGCCCACCAAGGCAACGACGGGUAGCUGGUCUGAGAGGACGAUCGGCCACACUGGAACUGAGACACGGUCCAGACUCCUACGGGAGGCAGCAGUGGGGAAUUUUGCACAAUGGGCGAAAGCCUGAUGCAGCAACGCCGCGUGUGUGAUGAAGGUCUUCGGAUCGUAAAGCACUUUCGACUGGGACGAACACCCCUUGGCUAACAUCCAAGGGCCUGACGGUACCAGGAGAAGAAGCACCGGCUAACUCUGUGCCAGCAGCCGCAGUAACAC